UACGGAGGAUUCAAGCGUUAUCCGGAUUUAUUGGGUUUAAAGGGUGCGUAGGCGGUCGGAUAAGUUAGAGGUGAAAUCCCGAGGCUCAACUUCGGAAUUGCCUCUGAUACUGUUCGGCUAGAGAGUAGUUGCGGUAGGCGGAAUGUAUGGUGUAGCGGUUAAAUGCUUAGAGAUCAUACAGAACACCGAUUGCGAAGGCAGCUUACCAAGCUACUUCUGACGUUGAGGCACGAAAGCGUGGGGAGCAAACAGG
rnacentral:rRNA from 1 species